rnacentral:tRNA from 1 species
ACCUCGUUAGCUCAGCGCGGAAGAGCACCCGGCUACGAACCGGGAGGCCACACGUUCGACCCGUGUACGAGGUG